rnacentral:piRNA from 1 species
UCAAUACACUCAAUUCACAUU